UUUUUUUUUUUUUUAAUGAACGGCUUUCACAGCCAGUUUACAAGCACAUAAUAAAACAAAUACAGUUUUCAUUGUAUAAAUCAUCCUGAGAAACGGCUUUAAAACUGGAAAAGGUCAUUUUCUAUAUUCAUUACUCUCUUCGCUAGAUAUGAGUCUUAUGACUUUUGGCUGAGAAAACAAAAGACAACAAAACUCAAGCCCGCUUCAAUAGAACAAUGGCUGUCAGCCCAGGAGACCGUGGGUGAUUACUUGAUAUUCUGUGUGGUUAAAAACAUAUGUGCAUUUAACAAGUAUUUGAUGGAUCCUAUUUCGGGCAAGGCACAGAGUUGGAGACUCUGGCUGUCAUUUGGCAGAGUAAGGGAUUUUCUCCAUUUCUCAGCAUGUAGUUCUAGAACAUAUUAAUGACCAUGAAGAGCCUAUGCCGCAGAAAUUCUGUAUUUUUAAAUUAAGAUGAAGACAAGUAAUUCUAACCUGUACUGACCUCAUCUUAUUACUCAUGGAAUACCUAAUAAAUCAUAAUUUUAUUCACUUUUUCUGUUAGUGCAGUUUUCAACAGCAGUUAAUAAAUCAUCGUCAUCUCUUGUUUCUUGAGCCUACUACCCUUCCCACUGAAAGCUACCGAGUUCUUCUCAACACAGUCUGCGUUUAGGAACCCCAGGAGGACUGCAUAAUGAAGAUGAGCCAAAGUGCUCAAAAUGAGUGAAUGCAUACAGUUUAUUAAUUCUGAGCCAGCCAUCAAAGACAGCAUCCUUUAUACUCCACAAGGCCCCCCCCUUACAUUUCUUAAUAAGAAUCCCAUACAAAAAUGCUGACUUGUGCUAAUAACUCCUCCUCAAAUCAGAAUAUGGGCUACUCAGGCAUUCUAAUUAUGAACUGAGAACCUAUAGUUGACUAGAUAAAACAUUCAACGCUGCCAGUUGACUACAAAAAUAACAUGCUUCAGAGAUCAGCAUCUUAAAAAUGCUAAAAUUACCACAUUCUCAAACCACUACUUAUAAAAAUAAUAUACUACAUUUAUGUCAAUC
rnacentral:lncRNA from 1 species